AGGUUCUAAGGCUAAGCCAUGCACGUCUAAGUACAAACUAAAUGAUGGUGAAACUGCAAAUGGCUCAUUACAACGGUUAUGAUGUACCCGGGAGUUCCGAUGGAUAUUUCCAGUAACACUAGAACUAAUACAUGUCCCUGCGUUUAUUAGUUUCGCACAGUCCGUCGCUGAGUCAUGGUAAACAGUUGAUCGACUCGACGUCCCGGAACAGUUUCCGCCCCAUCAGCUUCGAUGGUUGGGUAUUGGCCUACCAUUGCAACAACGGGUAACGAGGAAUUAGGGUUUGAUUUCGGAGAGGGAGCCUGAGAAACGGCUACCACAUCUACGGAUGGCAGCAGGCGCGCAAAUUACCCAAUGCAGACACUGUGAGGUAGUGACGAGAAAUAAUAAAGCGGGACUUCUGCUUCGCUAUUAUAAUGAGGAAUAACCAAAGGUCAUUCCGAUUAGCAACUGAUGGGAAAGUCUGGUGCCAGCAGCCGCGGUAAUACCAGCGUCAGUAG
rnacentral:rRNA from 1 species